CAUGCAAAUUCAAUUCCAUGGUUUUGGAAGUCCCAUUGAGAACACGAUUCAUUUGCGCCGGCACAAUGCUCUGACCGAGAAAGAAUUGAAGCUUCCGCUUGGAAGAAAGAUUCACAUCAAGUUGACUGGUCAAGUAAAUGGGACACUGACUAACCAUACAAUUAGACUGUUUUGAUGAGGAACUUAAAGAUUACGAGUCCCGUCCGUUUGACUCAGAGUUUGGUACCAUAGGUUGGUACGACGUUCGUUGGAG